AGAUAGAUCUAAUGUGAUGAUAUUUCUGAGGAACCCCAACUCAAGAGGAAUGGAACCUUGAAUGUUGUUGUGAGAGAUGUUUAGUAGUUGUAACUGGUUGAGAUUUCCUACUGGACCUUUAAGAUAAUUGCUAGACAAAUCAAGGUCAGUGAGUCUAUUGUGAGAUAGAUCAAAUGUAAUGAUAUUUUUCAGGAACACCAACUCAAAAGGAAUGAAACCUUGAACAUGGUUGUGAGAGAUGUUUAGAUGUUGUAACUGUUUGAGAUUUCCCAAUGAAGAAGGUAUCUCACCUUUGAAUAUAUUGUUAGAUAGACCUAGUGUAGAAAGAUUUUUGAGGAAGCCCAACUCAAAAGGAAUAUGACCUUCAAUGUAGUUGUCAGAGAUGUCUAGGUUCUCUAAUUGUUUUAGAUUUCCUAGUGAAGAAGGUAUCUGACCUUUGAAUCUAUUGUAAGAUAGAUCUAAGAAAGUGAGAUUUUUUAGCAACCACAAUUCAGAAGGUAGCUGACCUUUAAGAAAAUUGGCAGACAAAUCAAGAUGAGUGAGUUUGGAGAGAUUUCCUAGUGAAGGAGGUAGCUGACCUUUAAGAAAAUUGGCAGACAAAUCAAGAUGAGUGAGUUUGGAGAGAUUUGCUAGUGAAGGAGGUAGCUGACCUUUAAGAAUAUUGGCAGACAAAUCAAGAUGAGUGAGUUUGGAGAGGUUUCCUAGUGAAUGAGGUAGCUGACCUUCAAGAUUAUUGUAAGACAUGUUAAGAUGAGUGAGCUUGGAGAGAUUUCCUAGUGAAGAAGGUAUCUCACCUUUGAAUCUAUUGUUAAAUAGAUCUAAGAAAGUGAGAUUUUUUAGCAACCACAAUUCAGGAGGUAGCUGACCUUCAAGAAAAUUGGCAGACAAAUCAAGAUGAGUGAGUUUAGAGAGAUGACCAAUUUCUUUUGAGAUAGUCCCUUCUAGUGUAAUUUUUCUUAGAACAAGGCUUUCUAGAUUUUUGAAACAAGCCAAGUUGAGAGUAGACAAGUUGCGUGUUUUAAAAUCAUACUCCCAGGCAGCGUAUGUAGAAUCAUCAGAGUCUAUCUUAAUUGCUAUUAUGCUUCCAGCAUCGUUGCAAAAUAUACCAUGCCCAUGACAACGAUCAGAGAUAUUGAAGUUUGCAUCAGAAGUGUUCCACCAUCCACUAUUUAAUAUAGCAUUUGCUUCCAUUUGAAGUUGAUGAGAUGUCAUUGUGGCAGAUUGAGUUCCCUCAACCAAACCACAAAUUAUAAGAAGAAAGACCAUCCACAUUUUUGGACCAAAGAAAUUUGAAACUAAAUAUUUUAUCAAGUUCAUAUUUUUUCUAUGAGAUGUGAUGAAUGACCAUCAAAAACCUUUAUGAUGUUGUGUUAACCCACUUAUUUCUUUUCUUUUUGAGCGCUGGACCUUUUAUUUCUAUUUUCUAAGGACCUUUUUUUUUUAAAGUACCUUUAAAAAAGAUCCAUGUGUUUCUCACUUAUUUUACUUUUUUGUUAGAUUAUAAUCAUGGGAACUUUUGAUUUAUUGCUUCUUCCGGUAGGCCAAACAAAAGGUGGAUUCAAAUCGACUCUAUAACAUCAAUCUGUUAUCAUUAAAAAAAAAAUCAGUUUGAAUCCUGACCGGAGAAAUUAUUAAGAAGACUUGCUUGUUGGACCAGUUUAUGAUAAUAGAACAUUAUGACGUAAUUUGAUCCAAGUAGCCGACCCCACUUAGUGGGAUAAGACUUGGUUGUCGUUAUUGUUGUUAAAUCCUGGCUGGAACAAUCCUUGGCUAGACAUUACCUACCUUCUAGCUGAACUCCGGAUUAUCUAAGACCCUUUCUCCUAAGAACCGAAGGGUUAAGACCACAAAAACAUGCAAGCCAUAUCCCACUAAUUGGGGUCGACUACAUUGAUCAAAUUAAGCCUUAAUGUUCAAUCAUAAACCAUAUUUUAAUCCAACUCAUUAAUCUAAUGAUUUUUCUAAAUAGUUUCUCUUAUAGUUUUUUAGGUCUACCUCUGCCUCUAGCAAUCUGACUAUCUUCCAUCUUAUCUACUCUCCUUACUAUAGCAUCUACAAGUUUUCUCUCAACAAGUCCAAACAACCUAAUUCUAGUUUUCCUCUCCUUACUGUCAUCUAAAAGUCUUCUCUCUACACAAAAAACAUUUCUCUCUUAAAAAUUAAAAAUCAGACUUGAUAUCAAUUUGGUGAUAUUUUUGGCCUUCUGCCAUCGACAACACCGAUUUUAUUGAAAAAAAACGUUAUUUUUUGUGAUCCACAAUUGACAACAGUGGUCUAUAUUGCACACUUGUACUUGCUAGUUUAAAACAAUAGUAGUAUACUCAACUUUAAGCAUUCACUGCUCUUGAUGUUGUCUGUACUUGACUUCUCAGUAUGGUAUAUCGGUGUUGUCAAAUAGCAAUGUUCCCAAAUUUGAACAAAUUGCUAUAGUUUCGGGAUAUGCUAUUUAGUUCUAAGUGUGGCCAAAUGUCAACUAUAACGGCGACAUACCACUAUAGCGUUGUGGAAUUUAAAGGUUUAAAUAAAUUGGUAUUAUUCUGCAAUACACUUUUUGUACCAACUGUUGUCAAAUUGUGGCUAUAGCACUGUAGUGUAAUUUGGACUCGCUAGUUUCAUGCUCCUUUAUGCAGUAGCAAUUCACUCACCUUUGAACAUUUUAUGUGUUUAAUGCCAAUCAUUCUAUGCCGAAUUUUUAAUGGAACACUGGAGUUUGAAUACGAGUGAAAUUUUGGGAGUUUUGAGUCCCAUAGCUUUCUGGAGUGAAAUAUUCGAACAAUGGAAAGAAGCUAAUGAGGAAGCAAGAGAAAAAAUGUUUAGAGACAUAUUGGCUAAAAGAACAGCAGAAUAAGAAUGCCAUUCCUGAUAUCCUUAGCCACUUGCUCUCAUUGCACUCAAGCUAAUGAGGAAGCUAACUAGUAAGGCAAUGCAUCUGAUAAUAAUCACCAAGUACAUCAAGAAUUUUUUUUGUUGAAUUUGUAAACCUUGAGAUAUUGAUUGAAUCAAUUGCAAUACCUUUAUCUUUUAAUUCAGUUAUCAUAAUAAUUGAAACAGAAGUAAUUCAAUUUUAUACAAAAACAGAAAUGUGAAUACAUAUAUACUUAUGUUUGAUGUAUCACAACAACAAAGUUUUACAGCAUUUUUCAACAACUUUUGGGAAAAAAAAGGCAAUGUCUUUAUUAUUAUAAUAACACACUCAACUUAAUUCAUUCUGAAGUUUUCUUUCAAGGGUUCGCAAUACAAAACAAUGCUUUAAGUUCUUCACUCAUUAGUUGCUGCACUGAAAUUUCACUGAAAGGAAUACUUAAUCGUGGAAGCUCGGUGACAAAACUUUGCGACACACAUUUCAUUGUUGGUCGAGAACGAGGAUUGACAUUUAAGCAUGCAAAUGCUACCACGGCAGCAUGAAUUAUGUCACGUAUAACUAUGUCAUUAUUUGGAAGUGGAAGACGGUGGUCUAAUACUUGACAUAGUUUGAGACUUUGUGUCGAUGUUGAUUGAAGUGAUGACAAUAAAUCCCCAGGGUGCCUUCCAACUAAAGUUUCAAGUGCCACUACACCAAAACUAUAUACAUCACACUUUUCAUUAACAGCCAUAGUAUAGGCAAGUUCUGCAUUGAUCAAAUCACUAUGAAUAUUUAAAAGAAUCCAAAGAAAAUAAUUUAAAAUUACUACUUAGCAUGAAAAACUAAUGAACAUGUAUAUUAUUUUUGUGGAUUAUGAAUAUACAUGUUGUGCUUCAUAUAAAAAUGAACGGAAAAAAAAAAAAAACAUAACAAGAAAAGAAAAAAUAGCAAUGGUUAAUUUACCUGGAGCUAUAUAUCCAAUAGUUCCAGCAACUAUAGUUCGAUUGGAUGAAUCAUAUUGAAGGAGCCGAGCUAUGCCGAAGUCACAAACACUGGCCUGCCACUCAGAGUUUAGCAAGAUAUUGCUAGUAGAUACAUCUCGAUGCACUAUUGGAGCAGUGCAAUCAUGAUGAAGAUAUGAAAAAGCAAAUGCAACUCCUUUAAUAGUGUUAACCCUUUUCCUCCACUUGAAUUCCACGACUUUUACAUCAUCAUACAAGACAGAGAACAAGCUUCCUUUCUCCAUGUAUUGAUAGAUCAAAAACAUGAUUCUUUUGUGCAAGCAGAAUCCAUAAAGCUUCACAAUAUGUCGGUGCUUUAUUUCUGAUAAUAUUCUCACUUCAUUUCUGAAACUAUCAUCAAAAGAUGGAACCUCUGCUUCAUAGCGGUGAAGUUUCUUUAAGGCAACAACCUUGCCACUUGGUAAUUGUGCCUUGUAAACACUUCCAUAUGCUCCUGUUCCAAUGCAAUAUCUCAUGUCAAAGUCUUCUGUUGCUUUGAUGAUGUCAUCAUAUGCUAUCUUCCCAUCAAAAUUCCAUAUACAAAACAUAUCUCCAUUCUUUGUUUUUGUUGAGUUUCCUUGCGAUUUCUUAGUAGAAUUAUGAUGACGAUACAAGCAUAUGAGAAGUGAGAAGACUAGGAUUAGAGCAAUAAGGAUCGGAAGAACAAUGAUGACAAUGUGCUUUAAUUUUUUAUUUUUCUUGUGUGUUGGCCAAGGAUGGAAUUGGUGAAAAGACAUUACAGAGAGAUUACAAAGAGAUUGGGGAAUUGCUCCAUUGAGAUUAUUAUUUCCCUUAUUCUUUGUAUAAACCUGAAGACAAUUUGGAAUGGGACCCUCCAAACAAUUGUAUGAAAUGUCCACAUAAUAGACAUUACAGAGAGAUUGGGGAAUUGUUCCAGUGAGAUUAUUAUUGCUUAAAUUAAGUUCGUGAAAACCUCGAAUAUGAGAAGGGAUUUGACCGCUAAUGAGGUUGUGACUGAGGUCCAUGAAAAAUAAAUUAUCAUUAAAUGGAAAAAAUUUGGAAGGAAGCGUACCUAUGAGUAAAUUAUAUGAGAUGUCAAGGUAAUCUAAUUGUGUAAGAUUUGUAAGAAAAUUAGGCAAGUUUCCAUUGAGUCUAUUGUGAGAUAGAUCUAAUGUGAUGAUAUUUCUGAGGAACCCCAACUCAAGAGGAAUGGAACCUUGAAUGUUGUUGUGAGAGAUGUUUAGUAGUUGUAACUGGUUGAGAUUUCCUACUGGACCUUUAAGAUAAUUGCUAGACAAAUCAAGGUCAGUGAGUCUAUUGUGAGAUAGAUCAAAUGUAAUGAUAUUUUUCAGGAACACCAACUCAAAAGGAAUGAAACCUUGAACAUGGUUGUGAGAGAUGUUUAGAUGUUGUAACUGUUUGAGAUUUCCCAAUGAAGAAGGUAUCUCACCUUUGAAUAUAUUGUUAGAUAGACCUAGUGUAGAAAGAUUUUUGAGGAAGCCCAACUCAAAAGGAAUAUGACCUUCAAUGUAGUUGUCAGAGAUGUCUAGGUUCUCUAAUUGUUUUAGAUUUCCUAGUGAAGAAGGUAUCUGACCUUUGAAUCUAUUGUAAGAUAGAUCUAAGAAAGUGAGAUUUUUUAGCAACCACAAUUCAGAAGGUAGCUGACCUUUAAGAAAAUUGGCAGACAAAUCAAGAUGAGUGAGUUUGGAGAG
rnacentral:lncRNA from 1 species